UAUGAAAGCAAUCAUGUCGGCCAUUGUAAAGAAACCUCUUAAUCCAAGCUAACAAAGUCUAUAUGUCCGAAAACGUUUUACAAGAUCUUGUCGCUUUCCUAUAAACACUCUGUCUUUAUUCGUGCUAAUUGUUGAUUGAUUUAUUGAAUCUUACCAUUGUUUUUUUUCAGCUGCGAAGAAAGUAUGGAGACGCUGUCGUCGUAGUAAGUAUUCUGAUAUGCGUAUAAUUCACGCAACGUCAUGAUGAGACCUUAAAAGGCAUCUCGAAGCAGUUGGAAAAAAAUAGCGCUAAUUUUAGUGCCGUCUUUUAAUAUCUCUUGAAAAAUAUACUCGACUUCUCUCAAACAAGUUUUAUUUGAAUAUUCUAUCUUAGCAUGACUUUUGCGUAAAAUUUUAUGUAAAUAACUUAUCGCUGUGAGGAGCAAUUGGCAAUUUGAAGUGAAGAGAUAGCUCGCAGCUCCUUCGAGAAUCCUUAAAUUUAACAUUAGCCAUGCAAUUAUCCUCACAUGGGAUGAAUUAAUAACUUUACAUUGCUAUAAUUUUACGAUGCAGUUCAUAGUUUUUUGUUUGUUUGUUUAUUUUUGUCGUUAUUUUUUAGUCUAUCUAUGCUUAUAAACGAGUGUACCGAUAAAUUUAGAUAAAAAACUAUCACUUUUUACAUGUUAUUUCCAAAACUGCAAAAGUCUACAGAAAGAUUUCUUAGAAUAUUCAACACAUAUUCAACUUUCCUAUUAUAAACGCUCUGUCCUUAUUUAAGUCGUGUUGAUUGAUUUAUAAAAUCUUACUGUUGUCUUGUCAGGAAGACAAAGAAAGCGUAUCUGCCUUUAUGUUGUGGCUUAUGCAAAGAGACGCUGUCUUCGUAUGUCAUUGGUAGUGUGGCACCCGAAAUGCUAUAAAGGAUUCAGGAUUACACAUCGUGGUAAACGUUAUGCAUGCAGACGUUGCUGCUACAGUUCAUGCGUCCCAUACCGCGGUAAAGGUUGGCCUUGUUCUUUGACCGGAGGGUGCAAAACACAUUGCAAACGUAGAUAUUGAAAUAUAUCACUGUCGACAUCUCAAGAACCAUAACAUUAGAUCAAGAAGAAAACAGUGUUGCAAAAUAAUGACUUCUCCCUUUUUCCACUAAGGAAACAUCGUUUCUUCUGCAAUUGUGUAAAGGAACUUUGUACUUAAUCAACUUUGUAAUUUUAAAGAGAUAAAUUUAGAAUAA